rnacentral:tRNA from 1 species
GGAGGAGUGGCCGAGAGGUUGAAGGCGGCGGUCUUGAAAACCGUUGUCCGCUGUGAGGUGGACCGGGGGUUCGAAUCCCUCCUCCUCCGCCA